UCAACCUUCAGAAAUACUGUCAUGCCUGGACGAAGACUUUGGUAAGUAGAGUUUCUCUGAAAUAUUGCAUAGAUUUUUCAGUAAAGCCUUUAAAUAAGUUUGUUUAAAAUAAAAUGUGUUGUAAUAGUAAUUUGCUGUUCAUUACUAUUAUUGUAAAUAUUUCAUUGCCCUCCAGAACAUACUUCUUUUCCACCUUUGGAAAGGGCCGUAACAUUCAGAUCACGCCGCAUGGCAUAAAGCAUGCUCUACAAGGCCAUGCUAAAGAUGAAAGUGCUUAUCUCCCUACUGGCACCUGGGGAACACUUUGCCAGUCUUUGCAAAUUCCAAAUUCUCUUUGCAACAAAGUAAGAUUAAAAAACAUUGCACAGGCCCACCUACAGGUAAUAUUUCAACGAGAGAACAGGGAUGAGGAUAUGUGUAUUAAGUUUCUUUUCAAGUUUAUACUUACGAUGGGUCAACGUGUAAGGUAAUAUAGAGAUGCAUAGACAUUAAAUCAAGUAAUGAAACAGUAAAAACAUAGUAAUUAUUGUCUGGGGCAUAUGUUGUUACACACUAAUUUUGGUGUUGCAUUCAGUUAGCGUCUUUGUUAAUAAUACUUCAAUUUGGUUUGUCUGGGGUUGAGCAUCUUACAAAUUACACCAUUGUAUUUCCAAGGAGCCUUCUCUUGGCAAUCCAGAGGAUAGAGAUGUUGGGGAAGCUGAGUCUCCUUCUCCCAGGUGGUCUCCUGCACACAGCCCUUCAAGUCCACAUGAAACCGACAUAGAGUCUGAGGGCAAGAAUGUUGUUGGAGGUGAAUCUCCU